UGCAAGCUAAAGCAAACCCUUUAUGAACCUGGAAGCAACCUGUUAGCACUCCAUGCAUGAUAAAAACAUACAUGUAUUAAUACACUGGCUUGUGGACCAUAAUUACAGUUCCCUCCCCCCACCCCAAAAGGGAACAAAAAUGCAAAACAGCCCCUAAAAGACAUUUAAUUGGCAACUUGGGGAUUGUCCUUAUGUAAGAGAAUUUGUGAGCUUGAGUCUAAUGAAAAAGACACCAGUGUCUCCUGUAAAUAUCUCUGUCCUCAAUUUCCAAUCCUCUGCUACACUUUCAGCAAUCUCUUGUUAGUUUGUGACUGAAUCCCUUAGCCUAGUAAUUGAUCUUUCAAGAACUUGCUUUGUCUAAUCAUGGCCAGAGUGACACAGGGAAAUAAUGGGGAGACAAGGUGGGCAAGGUAAUCUUUUUUAUAGGAUCAACUUCUGUUGGUGAGAGAGACAAACUUUUGAGUUACAUGGAGCUCUCUUUUGGGAAAUAGUUUGAGAUGCCCGUGAAUAGAUACUCCUAAAAUCCAAACCAACCUACUGCAUUUUGGAUUUCUGCUCUGAGACAUUCAAUGGCAGCUUACAGCAGCUGAAAAUUUGGCUCAUGAAAUGUUGCAUGUUGUUUGGCUUUAUUAUGGGGAAAUUCUCUGGGUUGAUCUAACUCUGGCUUCUGAGUUAGAUUUGCAUAUUAUAAAGGUUUGCAAGUACAUUAAGCGUCUUGGGGUCUGCUAAUGACAAGCCCUAUAUUAGAGCUAGUAUUUCUAUUAACUCCUCUUCUCCCUUGAGUUUAGGACAGAACAGUGGCAUGGUACAUGGGUGAAGAUGAAGUUUGCUUCCCCUUCCCAGGAUUCUAGAAACACUUUUCUCUAUUUUUUUUAUUUAUACUUCCUAAUGCUAAGGCAUGAUUUGGCUUGCCAGGGUGCUAUAAAAUCAGGGCCAAAUAUUGGGCGUUUGUCCUAUUAGCUUGUUUUCAUUUACUGGCUUGAAGUGUUUGCAUGAUCCUCCUCAUUUAGAAAACAGGGACCUGUGACUAAGGGACUGGUUAUAAUGCUGCUUGAUAAACCUUUGUAAAGCAAUGUGCUGUUGCGAGUAAUGGGCUCCAUUCAUUAUUAGCCCAGUUGAUUUUCAUUUACACUUGGCUCUAACAAUUAGCUUGAGCAGGUGUGAAGGUGAUGGAGGGGCUGGGACACACAAGGUCAGCCACUGCUCUAUGUGAUAAAUUAACCAUUAUUAUCGGCAGUGAAAGUGGCUCUUUACGCUUGUCAGCAGCAAACAAAGGGACAACAUUUCUCACACAAACUCAAGUCAGGGCCAGGGCUGCAAAUGUGACGUGUCUGCUUCAUUCUGUCUGCUAAAUAAAGGCAAGUCCUUCCCUUGAGAUGUCACACCUGUGUGUCUCACUUCAAGCAGGUAUAAUAAAUUGUUACUUGAAAAAAACCCAUCUUGAGUUGCAAGCCAUAUUAUAAUGGCUUUUUCUGCUGACAAAUUCCAGUUUGUAUUAGAAAACAAUAAGGGAAGGUCUGGCUGUGUCUGAACUAUGGGAGUAAGCUUUGAAAAAUUAUUCAAAGGUAAUUUGGGGCUGGUAUUCUCUUAAUUUCCUUGUUCUUUUUGUUUGGUUUUUAAACUGACCCAUUUUGCAAAAUACCCAGAACUCUUCUGCACCACAUUGAGUUUUCCAUGGGCAACUGCUCUUUCUUCAUCUUUAAUUAAUCAUAAUUCACUGAAAAGCCCCACAGAUGUGCAAUUCUAAAAUACAAUGAUGGAAUUCUAGAAGUUUGAGAUCUUCUGGGUCUCUCUCCCCACCCCUUGGUUUGCCAUAUUUAACUUAUGGAGCUUCCCUGUGAUUCAGUCUGGAGGAGGAGUGUGAGGAAAGGAGCUGUGUUGCUUGAUUUUGGACAAGUACAAACAUAAAGAACAGGCAAAUUAUUUAACAAGAUGAGGUCUAUGACCAGCUAAGAGCAUUGCAGUUGGAAACUAGGGAAUGACUAACCAAAGUAAUUGGAAGUUAAACCUGAAAUUAAUAACAAUGUGGAAACAUUAAUUGUGAACUGUGGCUUCUGCAGUUCACUCUUCAUGGGGCGUAUUCUAUGCUUUAAAAACUCAAAGCCAAAAGGGACAUGAAACAUAAAGAAUUAAAAGCUGGAGCUGACUUCAGAGCAGGUCAGCAGUGAAUGACGCCAUUGCCAACUGAACUAGUGUCCUGUGUGAAAUGAAGGGAUGCUCCUAACUAUCACCAUCAUAAAAACCACCCCCAUCACCUUCCGCUACAUCUCUACCAUGAUCUAAAGAGAAUGGCCUGGAACAAGAGUUCAAUCUUCAUGUUGUCUAUCAGAGAGGUCUAUCUACUUUACUUAUCUAGGUACUUGUAAACUCCCCUGUACAUAAUAUCUAAGGUCAUGGAAUGAAUAGGAAUGGAGAGUCAAUUCUGGUGUCCUUUUCUCUCUAGAAAUAGUCUCUCCAGAUCAUGGCUGAGGCACACCAAGGACAUGGAUAUGUAGAACUCUUAGGCCUUCUUCUCUAAUCCAUUCUCUGCCAUAUUAAUUCUCUGCCAUCUUCAGGUUUCACUGGCUAGGCAAAACUACAAAACUCUAUUUGGCAUUGCCAAGUGUUCAGUGUGAGGUUACAUGCUGCCUGGGUACCUUGCCUUUCAAACUGGUGCUGUGGUUUUUUUGCUUCACUUCUAUUGAAAGCUUUAAAAAUGUUGUGUGUUUGUGUGUGGUUUUGCUUCAUUCCACACUGGCUGCAGAAUAUAUGCAAUAUUAUAAUCACAAAUGCAUGUAUUUACUGCACACAGGGAAUUUCUGACCAUUACAAUAUGUGUGCGGUGGUGUUGUAGCCAUGUUGGUCCUAGGGUGUUUGAGACAAGGUAGUAUGUUCUUUGGACCAACUUCCGU